UAACCAUAAAAUUAUUUUAAUAGUAUAAAAGUUCUUCACCGGUAUAUAACUUAAAUCAAUAUAAAAAUAUAGGCAAAUGGUGCUGGCUCGUUUAAAUGGACUUAAUUGCCAAUAACGACUUUCGCAUGUUGUUCACAUUUUUGUCUGUUGUCCAUAAAUAUACAAAGACAAUCCUAUCAUUUCAUCAUCACAAAUAUUCAAAAGAAAGAUUGAGGAGGAAGAGGAGAGAAGCCACAAUAUUUCUCCAUAUGGCUUUGUUCAAUUUCUGGGGCUGCUUCUCUGAAUCCUCAGAAUCAAGCAGAUUCGUCUGCAAAGGCGACGUUUGUGUCCUUCGUGAUCACAACAAGGUCAUCAACAAGAAGAAGAAUAAGCUAAGCUUGAGGAUGCCCUUUUCUCCACGCAAAUCCUGAAAAAUGACUAGUUCAUUUAGCACAGCAGAACAAGGAUUCUGAAUUUCUGAACUCAGAGGCGAAUUCAGGAUUUAAGCUCUACAAGUUCAGCUUAGUAUUGAACUUGUUGUAUUUUAAUAGGUUUGGACCUACUAUUUGUUGUAAUUUUAGUGGAUUUUUACGUAUAAAUUUAUGUUCCGCAUUGAGACUACUGGAUUCUGAUGAAUAUGGCGGCAACGCUGCAUCCACCUCUGCUUCUGAUACAUCUUUCAGUAUAGAGAAUUUCUAGUGAUUUUUUUUUUUUAAUUUGUAACAUUAGUUCGAAAUGAGCUUCACUUGAACUAUAUAUACUGGUCAGUGAAAAUUCAUAUAGCCGAGACUUCCAACUGGCAGAACUGAUAGUGAUGCAUAGUCUUCCUUUGAUUUCGUCUCUGUCAGAUUUUUGCCUUCGAAAUUUUGCGUAUUCAAUCACGGAAUGAUUUGUUAUUUUCUUUGGAGAA